UGGCAACUGUGAUGACCCGUCUUAGCUCUGCAGUGCACGUCGUCGUGACAUGGAGACACCUGUCCCUCUAAACUGAUGUUGCCU